rnacentral:lncRNA from 1 species
AAGCGUGAUGUAAGACUACUGUGGUUCUGGUAGCAUUCACUUUUGCAUUAGAUUAAGUGAUGACAGGUAGUUGGACUGUUAUGAUUAGGAAGAUCAGAAUGAAUAAUGGAGCUACGAGUGGAAUUACGAUUAAGGCAUAUUUCGAUAGCCAAAGUUCUCCUCGAAAGUCACGUGGGUUUGAAAGAAUAAUGUGUGACUUCAUCCCUAGGACGUGUGCACACACCGACUUUCCUUCUUUAUGUUUACUUGCCAAAAGGGCUUGAGUGAUCUUGAACUUUUCAAGCCUUUGAACUUGUGGGUUUGAAAGAAUAAUUUGAGGAGGAGGAGGAAGUGAAGUAUGAUCUCUUGUUCCUCGAUCGAAUCGUGGAAUAUCAUCUUCAUGUGGAAUGCUUGUUCCACGGGAUUUGGGAAAACCAUAGUUGUCGAACUUUGACAUCUACAAUACGGGAGAAAAUGAAUUCAAGUUAGUUGAUUGAAUGAGUCCUUAGCAAAUCACCCAAAUGAGAUACUAAGGCUAGGACCCAACACAAUAUUCUACAACUCGGGAGAGGGAUGCCGUAACCCUAAUUGCAGAAUAUUUGAAGGUAAUUGAAUGACGAUUCACUAAUUUCCACCAUGAAAAACGAAAAAGAAAUUUAAGUUUUAAAUCUAUGAAAACUCCUAGAUCCUUUGAGAUUCAUUGAACUUUCAAUGGCAUGUUUAAAUCUCGAUAUGCCCCUCUUGUUUGUGACUGGGAUGCCGAGGAUCACAAAGCGGGUGUGAAUAACCAUGCAAACUUACAUGGUGCCCUCACAUGUUACAGUCACCUAUUCGAUGUGCCGGUAAACCACACACGCUCCACCGAACUAUGACAAACAUUGAGUCACCCUUUGCUACCUUUGCUUAGAACCAUUUAGUGUGCCGGUAAACCACACACGCUCCACUAACGUCUUCGCAAGGGCACAAAGUGUAAUUUCAUGGAAUUGCAUCAAUUCACUUUUGCCUAAGUAACUAAGAUUGGGAAUUUUAUGAAAACAUUUAGUUACUUUAAUAAUUCAUUAUACUUAUAAUGGAAGGUUUCGUCCUAUCCUACCCGUUCGGCUAACGACCCUCCACUAGUCAAGAGUGCGGUGGGUAAGAGUGGAUACCCAUUCAAUCGCCAUUUUAUAGGCAAUUUCCUUAAACACCCCUUAUAGACCAGCUUCGUGAAUGAGGCCUACUAACGGUAAGACUGACUUUUACUCAUACAUAUAUAUAAUGUUAGACUUUUAAUGUUAUAUAUAGUAUAGGGUGUAUUUUAUACUUUCAAAAUACUAGGUGGUCUAAUUUAACAAUUAUACUUUUAAUUCAAUUAAAUUGUAAACCUAAACUUUUAUGGAUUUAUUAAACCUCUUUUAAUUAUACACCUUAAUUAAUUAAUAAAACCAUAAGGGUGUGAUUUGAACUUUUUCAAAACAAUACUAGGGUUUUAGAAUUUAACAUUCCUAAUUAAACUUUUAAUCAACUUUUAAAUUCCAAAACUUGAGGGCAAGUUUUGAAACAUUUCAAAACAUUAGGGUUUAGAAUUUAAAUAUACAUCAAAAUUAAACAUUUAAUCAAAAUUUAAAUUCCAAAACUUGAGGGCAAGUUUUGAAACCUUUUUCAAAACAUUAGGGUUUUAACUAUUUAAAUUUCAAAACAACAAAACUUUUGGGUUCAAAUUUAAACUAUAAAACCUAAAGGGGAAAAUAUGAAACUUUUCAUAACAACAAGGAUCAAAUAACAAAUAAUCUAAAUUAACAUUUAAUCACAUAAUUAUCCAUAUUUGAUUUAUUUAAUGAUUUCUUGCAAAACAAUUUAUCAAUUUAGUCAAAAUAAUUAAUCAAUUAUCACAUAAGGAAACAAUUAUCUUAUUAAUUGAUAAAUAUCUUCAAUUAGAUCAAGAAUAUAGUCAAAUAUAUCAUAAAAUCGGAUUUAUAUUGAUCUAAUAUGAUAAGGUAACUAUCCCAAAGCAAAAACAGCAAGAAAUCCCGAGAUAUGCUCCAUCUGACGAGUUGACUCGUCGAGUCAAGCUUGGACUCGUCGAGUCUGCAUGGACUCGGCGAGUUCAGCUAUGGACUCGGCGAGUCCAGCCUCCAGAAACCAAAAAAUCGAAUUUUUCAAACAUAUCAAGCAUCAAUACAAUAGAAACCAAUCUAGGCUCUGAUACCACUGAUGGGUUUUGGUCAUAAGACAUCCUAUGUGCUCAUACAAACCCUAAUGCUUGGAUCUAGGUUUCUCUAUUGUACAUGCUUUGAAUCCAAGACUAUAAACCCUAAUUCUAGCAUAUGGAAAUCAAUAUUAACAUAUAAUUAGGUUUAAGAUAUUACCUUGAUUGUUAUGUAGCAAUAACAAUCCCAAUUCCUCCUUGAAUUGACUUUGGAAGGCUUAGAGUCACAAGUGUCACUCCUCUAAUGGUUCACAAACACCAUAAGCAAGAGGAUGAAGAGGAGAGAGGAUGGAGGCUGCCCAAAACGUGUUCUAACCCUAGAAAAGAAGUUCCCCACGUUUUUGAGCCUUAAGGGUUCUAUAUAUAGUGAGGCUAUUAGGGUUAUCUAACAAGGAAACCCUAAUUUGGAUGCUUAAGCCCUAAGCAACCCAUGGACUCCUUUAAUUAAGGCCUUGGACGAUUUCCUUAUGGGUUUCCCCAUAGAAUUCGUCCACUCCUUAAUAUAAGGCAAUCCAUGGCCCAAAUUGCAAUUAUCUUAUAAUUACAAUUCCAGUCCCUUAAGUUUAAUUAAUCUCUUUUAGUCACAAAACUAAUUACCAAUUAAUUAUUGACUAAUAUUAAUUAAACAAUAUGAUUUCUCCUUUAAUAUAUUAUUCUCAUAAUAUAUUAAUAAAUCAUAUUUAAUCCUUUCUCUCCAUAAUUCAUCCUAUCAAGUUGCUUUGGUGAAGGCAACCCAAAAGGACCAUGCACCAUCGGGUCAAGUACAUACCAAAAUAGUUAUGGACUUAGACACUAAUCCAACAGUCUCCCACUUGGAUAAGUCUAAUAACUAUUAUGCGUAUGACUUCAGAUCCUGAUCUGCAAUCGUAGCUUUCCAAAGCCGCUGUCAACUCUGAUCCUAUCAGAUACGCGUGUCCUUAGAUAAGGGAUCAUAUAUUCCUCCAUUCUAGAUAUCAUAUGAGAUAUGAUUUCAAAUCAUUCUCUUUGUACUAUAUCUCGAUUCCCGAUUUAUGACGACUGACUAAUUGAACAAAUCAAAUUAGCCCUAGCCCGGCCGAGCAUUUACGUUUGUCAUCACUAAAUCAUCGAGGGGCCCAAAGAUAUCGCUUUUAUCCUACUUUGGAUAAAAGGAACGGAUAAACUUUGAUACAAUGCUUGCUUGCACUCACUCACCGAAUUACACACAACAAUAUGUUUUAUAACACCAAGUUACUAGUGCGUUUACAUAUUAUCAAUGUGCAACCGAUUUGCAAGAUACAACUCACACAUCUCGGUUUCAAGAAUAUAAGAUGUUAUCGUCUCACCAAUCACUCGUGAUACAAUUCAUGGAGUGAUCCAAGUGAGCGUGGGUUUAAUCCAAUGCUCAAAUCAUAUUCAUAAGCACUCAUGAACGUUGCAGCAAACAUUUGCUUAUGUCUAAUACUCUUUUAGACAAUCCACACACCAAUUCACGACAGUCUUCAUUCAUAUCUACUUCCAACAUAUGAACGACUGUGGCCCGUUCGAAUAAUUCGAUUAUUCUUAAUAAAUUCAAUUAUUCUGGAAGUCAAAACAUGCAAAUGUGAAACACAAGAAUAAUACUAAUCCCAUAUGGCCUCAAACCUUUGAGUAUAAAUAAAACACCUUUUAUUUAUCACCAUAUUGAUUACUCAUUAUUUGUCGUUUCAGGUAAUCAACAUCUUACUUGAAUUAUUACACUUGUCCCAUGCUCCUAGCAUGCACACAAUGUUCACCUAUGGUUCUUACUUUGGGAAAUAGACCAAAUUGAGAACAUUUCCAAUCAUUAUCAUUUCACAACUCCAAAUCCUUUUUCAUAAGUGAAAAAAUAUCAAAUUCUUGCUACCUAUAGAAUAUGCUAGAUUCUAACAUUUUAUGCAAUUGUUCUUUCGUAAAUUCACUGCACCAAAGUCACAAAGACUAUUGCCAAUGAUAUUACAAAGUCCUCUAUCGUAGAUUGUUACAAGACAAUUCCUUAGAUACGAUGUCUCUCACUCAAAGUACAUUCCUUUGAACAUCCUUUUGCAUAAAAGUUUCUAAUCUAGUCAUAGAUUUUUCAAUAUUCAAUUCCCAAUAUGGACACACUUCCAUAUGUUCCAUAUGACAACUCAUUCUUAAUAGAAUCUUAUCUAUUCGUAAUGAUGUCGAUAUGGUCCAUCCAAUAUGGAAACAUUUCCAUAUUUUCCAAUACUAUACUUCCAACUACUCACAAGCGACCAAUCCUCGUCGAACUUUGGAUUGUCCUUUGAUAGUUGUUUAAUUAUUUUAGUCAAAACCAAUUCUAGUCCCUUUUCCCUCUAAAUGCGCUCGACAUUUGGAAAAUUUUAGAAUGGUCAAACAUUAAAGCAUUUGCAAUCGAUCCUAUACCCGAAGCGUAUGGGACACGACGCAUAAUGUUUUAUUUGCUAUGUUCUCAAAAUUCGAAUUGUGAAGAGGGAUGCCGUAAUCAUAAUCGAAAUUUUAAGAACACACUAUGUACCUUUGACUAAAUUUAUUAACAUUUCUCAACCUAAUCCUUUAGAUUUGAAAUGAAGCAUAAUAUUCUCUCCCUUAAUUAUAGCAAAACAACUUUACAACCCUUACGACUUUGCAAGGUAUAACUCUUGUUUUCUAUAAUUAAUAUUGCCAACUUGCAAUACGUGCCUUAAUAAUCAUACAAUCAUAACAUUUAUGCUCCCACUAUCAUGAUGAUUAUUAUAAAACAUAACACUUAUGCUCCCACUAGCUUCGACAUGUAUUCAUAAACAUCUUAACUUUCAGAAAAACAAUACUUAUUGAAUUUCUUAAGUUCAUGUUUCUAAUACUUAGUGCUUUGAUAAUCUUUUAUCAAGGCUUCUUGAACUUAUACACCUUUGCCUUCGAUAGUUCAUAUGUGUGUCUAAACAAUUAAGACUAAUUGCCAAACCUCACAAUUCAAAUUAUGGAAAGGGAUACCGUAACCAUAAUCGAAUUCGAGAAUGCAAUUUUACAAUCACUAUCUUCUUAAAAUCUUUCUUAGUGAAAGCAUUUCCUCACAAUCAUUUUCAUGAAGGAGGAAAUCUUAUGACACUUAGAUUUAAACGGUGUAUGUGUUCCUAUCCAUGUGAAUUUGUUAAAACCAAAGUUUACGACAAAUUCAAACUCAUAUGGACCGAACUUUCUUAAUCUUGAUUUCUUGCCUUAUGGUAGCACAGCUGCCCACCAUGUCUUCCAAGUAGUUAAGCAGCUCACCCUUUCCUAUCAAUGUACCUUUCAUUGAUUAAGGUGCUUUGCCUUUUAUGCGUUCAAAAUGAGAACUCAUAGAACUCACAUGCAUAAUUAACUCGAUUGGAUUGGCACAGAAACAAAAUAAUGUCAACACGAUAGGUUGUAAACCUCAACUCGUGUGCUAGUGAUGAUCGAUAAGGUUUAUUUGAUUUGUUCUUGAAACCUUUCAAGACCAUUAAGACUCCCACUGACUCCUUGACAUAUAAGAUUCUCUUGUCAAUAAACAUUUCUUGACAAACAAAUAUUCAAGAGUUAGUGUAGCUUUUAUCAAAACACUUCAUAAAUUGGUCCUAGUUGGUCUUUGUCUUAUCCAAGACAUCACAACUUUCCACAUUUGAUGAAUGUUAUAAACCUUCUUAAUACUUUUCACUCAAUGUCACAAUCUUAACUCUAAGACUUGUUUUGGAACGAAGUAUGAUUGACUUCUUGAUUUAACCAUUUCUUCAAUUCUUGAUUCCUCUUCUUAGACAUACAAUUGUACUAAGACUCACUUAGAGGAUCAAUUGAGAUAUGGUUCUUAAUCAUUAAGACCUAUCAUAAAGCAUAAAAGGUACUCUCCCUUCUUCUUAGAAUGGAGAAACUUUUAUCUUUCUGCCUACUUGAUUCUUCUUAUUCGUUCUGCUAUUGAUUUAAACUUUUUCAAUCAAUUCAGAAUUACACUUAAUCUUGUAAGUAUAAUCAUAUUUACUAAACCUUUAGUAAAUCAUGACGAAUAUCUUUGUUACUCUUAUGGUGGACUUGAUCAACACGCAACUUUGUGUACUCGAUCUCCUAGUCCUUCACUUGACACUUUGUCAAUGAAUUAGUCUAAUUUCCAAAUAUGAAAUUUCUCAUUCAUCGUGCAACCAAGUUGCAUGAUUCCAAGUUUCUGUCCAAUUGAAACUUGGGCGAUGAGAAACUCUCCCUAUUUGGUAAAUUCUCGACUUUCCAUAAAUAACAUAAUAAGAACCAAAUCCAUUAUUGCUAAUAAUAGAAACAUUCAAACAUCAAUUUUUCAUAUACGCCAUUGCAAGGAUAAAUAAAUAAUAUAAAAUCAAAAUUUAUUUUAUUGCGGAAAAAAUUUGUCCUUACAAUGCAAUUCAUUGAAAAACUAUGCUAAUACAUCUUUCUUAGCAAUCUAAUUCUAACUCUAAGUAGUAGCUCAAGAAUCUAAUCUUCGAGAAAUGCGAUCGAAAUCCAUUCCUUCACGGUUAGAUUCUGCUCACUUCUUCCCUUAAGCUUCCUUUCUUUUCUUCGAUCCUACAAAACAUCAAUUGUAAUCUUAUCACAUUAUGUAUUAAGAAUCUAGAAUAGAAGCUUAAAAGAGUUAGUUAAUGGAUUUUACCUAUAUUAGAGCCAUACGUUUCGACUCUCCCAUCUCUUAGAUCUCUUAGGUAAAUGGGGCAGCUUCGUCUCCAAUGCCCUUUCUCUUGGCAAUAAAAGCAAAUUGACUCUUUUGGAACAUGACAUGGAACUACUUCAGACAUUGCCUUUCUCUUAUGAUCAAACUUUUCGAUCAUAGCAUGUCUUUCGUUGCCAUUGUCUAUAUCCAUAGAGGUCUUGAAGGCAGAUUCACCAAUCAACUUUGCUUUUCUAUUGCGCCAAACCAUUGCUGAUUCAGCAGCAAUAAGCAUAUAGGUGAGAUCUAUAAGGGUCACGUCGCGGUUCAUCAUAUAGUACUCUCUUACGAACUCACUAUAUGAGUUAGGAAGUGACUGAAGAACCCAAUCAACAGCCAUUUCCUCACAGACAACGGAUCCCAACAUUCUUAACCUAUCAAUGUGUGACUUCAUCCCUAGGACGUGUGCACACACCGACUUUCCUUCUUUAUGUUUACUUGCCAAAAGGGCUUGAGUGAUCUUGAACUUUUCAAGCCUUUGAACUUGUGGGUUAGGGAGAAUAAUUGGAGGAGGAGGAGGAAGUGAAGCAUGAUUUCUUGUUCCUCGAUCGAAUCGUGGAAUAUCAUCUUCAUGUGGAAUGCUUGUUCCACGGGAUUUGGGAAGACCAUAGUUGUCGAACUUUGACAUCUACAAAACGGGAGAAAACGAAUUCAAGUUAGUUGAUUGAUUGAGUCCUUAGUAAAUCACCCAAAUGAGAUACUAAGGCUAGGACCCAACACAAUAUUCUACAACUCGGGAGAGGGAUGCCGUAACCCUAAUUGCAGAAUAUUUGAAGGUAAGUGAAUGACGAUUCACUAAUUUCCACCAUGAAAAACGAAAAAGAAAUUUAAGUUUUAAAUCUAUGAAAACUCCUAGAUCCUUUGAGAUUCAUUGAACUUUCAAUGGCAUGUUUAAAUCUCGAUAUGCCCCUCUUGUUUGUGACUGGGAUGCCGAGGAUCACAAAGCGGGUGUGAAUAACCAUGCAAACUUACAUGGUGCCCUCACAUGUUACAGUCACCUAUUCGAUGUGCCGGUAAACCACACACGCUCCA